GAUGAACGCUGGCGGCGUGCCUAACACAUGCAAGUCGAACGAACAGACGAGGAUCUUGCGCUUCUCACGUUAGCGGCGGACGGGUGAGUAACACGUGGAUAACCUACCUAUAUGACUUGGAUAACUUCGGGAAACCGGAGCUAAUACUGGAUAAUAUAUCGAACUGCAGGGUGCAAGAGAGAUAGAGGGGUUUGGUGUCACUUAUAGAUGUAUCCGCGCGGCAUUAGCUAGUUGGUGGCGUAACGGCUUACCAGGGCGGCGGUGGGUAGCCGACGUGAGAGGGUGUAGCCGCACAGUGGGACUGAGACGCCGCACUGGCACCGACGGGAGGCACAAGUUGGGAAUCUUGGGAGAAGGGCGGAAUCCUGACGGAGCGAUGGCGCGUGGGUGAUGAAGGGCUGCGGACCGUAAGACUCUGUUCUUGGGGAAGACCGAAUGUGUAAGUGACUAAGCACGUCGUGACGGUACCUGAUCAAGAAGCACCGGCUAACUACGUG
rnacentral:rRNA from 1 species